UGUACCGACGCCAUUUGCGCGUUUGCUGCUUGGUUGUGUUUGUAAUUCUAUGCGAGCGCUGGUUUUUCCAAAUUUUAAUCCGUUUAUAUCUGACUGAAAAUUAAGUAAAGGAAACAAAAUAGCACUAUGAGUGACAGGGAAGAUGGAUACGAUAGCAGAGAAAAGGAAGAUGCAAACUCACCUCAACGGGAACAGCAAAGCAAAAGUAGAUCUCGUUCCAGAUCACGUGGAUCGUACAACUAUCGGUCUGCUUCAAGAAGUCCUCGACGUUCUCGCUCAAGGUCACGCUCGCCUUAUGUCAGCAAGAGACGUAGUGGUCGUCGCAAGUACUCCCGUUCUUAUUCUCGAAGCCCAAAAAGGAGAUAUUCUAGAAGUCGAUCUCGAUCACCAUAUGUGCGCAGACGAAGAAGUAGGAGCACUUCACCAAUGUCGGACAGACGGCGACACAUUGGAAACAGGGAAAAUCCCCCAGAAAGCACAUGUCUUGGUAUUUUUGGUCUGAGUCUGUACACUACAGAGCGUGAUCUUCGUGAUGUCUUCAGUCGCUAUGGACCUAUUGAGAAAGUUCACGUUGUAUAUGACCAUCAGACUGGCAGAUCAAGAGGAUUUGCAUUUCUCACCUUUGAGUCGUAUGAUGAUGCUCAAGAGGCUAAAACCAGAACGAAUGGUAUGGAAGUAGAUGGCCGUAGAAUCCGGGUAGACUUCUCCAUUACCAAGAGGGCACAUACACCGACCCCUGGAAUAUACAUGGGAAAACCAACAAGGCCAAGAGAUCGUGAUUAUGGUUAUGGUCGUCGACGUUCACCUUCGCCGUAUCACAGUCGUGGAUCGCCAAGAUACAGGAGCAGAUACUCGCGUUCUAGGUCAAGAUCGUUUUCGCCUCGUCGGUACUGAGAACAAUACUAAAGAGGAAACCAUCAAUGCUGAAUCCAAUUGUGUUCAGAGUGUACAUACAACAGGUUUUGGAUAUCAAUCAGUAAUGGUCCACAUUAGAGGCACUGCUAGAUCUCAAGAGUGCAGCUGGCCUUCAAGCCCCAAAUUGCAAGUCUUAAGGUUAUUAAGAAUUGAAGAUUGAAGUUAUGAUGAAGAAAAUCAAGUAGCGUUAAUGAAAAGAAGUUUGAAAUUAAAAGAAGAAAAGAUGGAAGCAAUAUAAAUAAGAAAUUUGGCAGCUUCAGCAAAUUUAGAAGUGAAGUAAUUAUGAAGUUAAUUGAAGAAAGAAGCGAGUAGAAGAAAGAAGAGGGGUAAAUUGAAGUAAUAUUGAAGAAAGAAGAGAGAAAAUAGAUAAUAUAAAGAAAAUAAUUGAAUGCGCGAGUUUGAAGUGGUUGUAGCAAGAAGACAACAGAAGGUUUGCAAUGUUGUUUUUUUGAUAUGCCACGUGUUUAUUUUUUUGAUGUGCCUCUUUCCCAUGUAUGUCUGAUACAAUGUUUUUUAUUGAUUUAACUUCCAGCAAAAUAUGUACAUUUUGGAGUAUUUUACAACCAGUGUACAUGUUAAUUCUUCAUGUGUUAUUGAUUAUUAAAGAAUCAAUCUUUUUUUGCAGAACUCUGAAA
rnacentral:misc_RNA from 1 species